rnacentral:rRNA from 1 species
CCUACGGGAGGCAGCAGUGAGGAAUAUUGGUCAAUGGGCGGAAGCCUGAACCAGCCAAGUAGCGUGCAGGAUGACGGCCCUACGGGUUGUAACCUGCUUUUAUACGGGAAUAACGCGCCUUACGUGUAGGGCUUUGCCUGUACCGUAUGAAUAAGGACCGGCUAAUUCCGUGCCAGCAGCCGCGGUAAUACGGAAGGUCCGGGCGUUAUCCGGAUUUAUUGGGUGUAAAGGGAGCGUAGGCCGCAUGUCAAGCGUGCUGUGAAAUGUCCGGGCUCAACCCGGGCCUUGCAGCGGGAACUGGCGUGCUUGAGUCCGCGGAAGGCAGGCGGAAU